rnacentral:rRNA from 1 species
GGGUUGUGAGGUUAAGCGACUAAGCGUACACGGUGGAUGCCCUGGCAGUCAGAGGCGAUGAAGGGCGUGCUAAUCUGCGAUAAGCGCCGGUAAGGUGAUAUGAACCGUUAUAACCGGCGAUACCCGAAUGGGGAAACCCAGUGUGAUUCGUCACACUAUCAUUAACUGAAUCCAUAGGUUAAUGAGGCGAACCGGGGGAACUGAAACAUCUAAGUACCCCGAGGAAAAGAAAUCAACCGAGAUUCCCCCAGUAGCGGCGAGCGAACGGGGAGGAGCCCAGAGCCUGAAUCAGCAUGUGUGUUAGUGGAAGCGUCUGGAAAGGCGCGCGAUACAGGGUGACAGCCCCGUACACAAAAGCGCAUGUGCUGUGAGCUCGAUGAGUAGGGCGGGACACGUGGUAUCCUGUCUGAAUAUGGGGGGACCAUCCUCCAAGGCUAAAUACUCCUGACUGACCGAUAGUGAACCAGUACCGUGAGGGAAAGGCGAAAAGAACCCCGGCGAGGGGAGUGAAAAAGAACCUGAAACCGUGUACGUACAAGCAGUGGGAGCACCCUUCGGGGUGUGACUGCGUACCUUUUGUAUAAUGGGUCAGCGACUUAUAUUCUGUAGCAAGGUUAACCGUAUAGGGGAGCCGGAGGGAAACCGAGUCUUAAUUGGGCGUUAAGUUGCAGGGUAUAGACCCGAAACCCGGUGAUCUAGCCAUGGGCAGGUUGAAGGUUGGGUAACACUAACUGGAGGACCGAACCGACUAAUGUUGAAAAAUUAGCGGAUGACCUGUGGCUGGGGGUGAAAGGCCAAUCAAACCGGGAGAUAGCUGGUUCUCCCCGAAAGCUAUUUAGGUAGCGCCUCGUGAAUUCAUCUCCGGGGGUAGAGCACUGUUUCGGCUAGGGGGCCAUCCCGGCUUACCAACCCGAUGCAAACUGCGAAUACCGGAGAAUGUUAUCACGGGAGACACACGGCGGGUGCUAACGUCCGUCGUGAAGAGGGAAACAACCCAGACCGCCAGCUAAGGUCCCAAAGUCAUGGUUAAGUGGGAAACGAUGUGGGAAGGCCCAGACAGCCAGGAUGUUGGCUUAGAAGCAGCCAUCAUUUAAAGAAAGCGUAAUAGCUCACUGGUCGAGUCGGCCUGCGCGGAAGAUGUAACGGGGCUAAACCAUGCACCGAAGCUGCGGCAGCGAACGUAUCACCCAAGACAACUUUACGGAGUUGACGAUUGACGGAGCGAAGCGACGUCAAAGCGUUCAUUAAAGUCGAGUUGGCUUAGGGAUACGUUCGUUGGGUAGGGGAGCGUUCUGUAAGCCUGCGAAGGUGACCUGUGAGGGUUGCUGGAGGUAUCAGAAGUGCGAAUGCUGACAUAAGUAACGAUAAAGCGGGUGAAAAGCCCGCUCGCCGGAAGACCAAGGGUUCCUGUCCAACGUUAAUCGGGGCAGGGUGAGUCGACCCCUAAGGCGAGGCCGAAAGGCGUAGUCGAUGGGAAACGGGUUAAUAUUCCCGUACUUGGUGUUACUGCGAAGGGGGGGACGGAGAAGGCUAUGUUGGCCGGGCGACGGUUGUCCCGGUUUAAGCGUGUAGGUGUGUGUUCCAGGUAAAUCCGGUUCACUUUAACACUGAGGCGUGAUGACGAGGCACUACGGUGCUGAAGCAACAAAUGCCCUGCUUCCAGGAAAAGCCUCUAAGCAUCAGGUAACACGAAAUCGUACCCCAAACCGACACAGGUGGUCAGGUAGAGAAUACCAAGGCGCUUGAGAGAACUCGGGUGAAGGAACUAGGCAAAAUGGUGCCGUAACUUCGGGAGAAGGCACGCUGACACGUAGGUGAAGUGAUUUACUCACGGAGCUGAAGUCAGUCGAAGAUACCAGCUGGCUGCAACUGUUUAUUAAAAACACAGCACUGUGCAAACACGAAAGUGGACGUAUACGGUGUGACGCCUGCCCGGUGCCGGAAGGUUAAUUGAUGGGGUCAGCGUAAGCGAAGCUCCUGAUCGAAGCCCCGGUAAACGGCGGCCGUAACUAUAACGGUCCUAAGGUAGCGAAAUUCCUUGUCGGGUAAGUUCCGACCUGCACGAAUGGCGUAAUGAUGGCGGGCUGUCUCCACCCGAGACUCAGUGAAAUUGAACUCGCUGUGAAGAUGCAGUGUACCCGCGGCAAGACGGAAAGACCCCGUGAACCUUUACUAUAGCUUGACACUGAACAUUGAGCCUUGAUGUGUAGGAUAGGUGGGAGGCUUUGAAGUGUGGACGCCAGUCUGCAUGGAGCCGACCUUGAAAUACCACCCUUUAAUGUUUGAUGUUCUAACGUGGACCCGUAAUCCGGGUUGCGGACAGUGUCUGGUGGGUAGUUUGACUGGGGCGGUCUCCUCCUAAAGAGUAACGGAGGAGCACGAAGGUUGGCUAAUCCUGGUCGGACAUCAGGAGGUUAGUGCAAUGGCAUAAGCCAGCUUGACUGCGAGCGUGACGGCGCGAGCAGGUGCGAAAGCAGGUCAUAGUGAUCCGGUGGUUCUGAAUGGAAGGGCCAUCGCUCAACGGAUAAAAGGUACUCCGGGGAUAACAGGCUGAUACCGCCCAAGAGUUCAUAUCGACGGCGGUGUUUGGCACCUCGAUGUCGGCUCAUCACAUCCUGGGGCUGAAGUAGGUCCCAAGGGUAUGGCUGUUCGCCAUUUAAAGUGGUACGCGAGCUGGGUUUAGAACGUCGUGAGACAGUUCGGUCCCUAUCUGCCGUGGGCGCUGGAGAACUGAGGGGGGCUGCUCCUAGUACGAGAGGACCGGAGUGGACGCAUCACUGGUGUUCGGGUUGUCAUGCCAAUGGCACUGCCCGGUAGCUAAAUGCGGAAGAGAUAAGUGCUGAAAGCAUCUAAGCACGAAACUUGCCCCGAGAUGAGUUCUCCCUGAGACUUAGAGUCUCCUGAAGGAACGUUGAAGACGACGACGUUGAUAGGCCGGGUGUGUAAGCGCAGCGAUGCGUUGAGCUAACCGGUACUAAUGAACCGUGAGGCUUAACCUUACAACGCCGAAG